ACGACGCUUGGUCUCCUUUGAAGGCAUUCUAUUGGGGUUGUAGUGGUGGGCAUUAAUGUUGUUUUAUUGGAGCGGUGGAUGUGGAUCGACAACAAGGGUAUCUCAGUGUUUCACUAGAAAUGAAGAAAUAUGAGCUUUUAGAAUCACCGAUUCCAGAAAGAACUCAUAAAUUAUCUCAACAACCAAAUUGUUUUUGAUGGAUCUAUCAAGGUAUAUAGUUUCAAACAAAAUUAUAUUUUUUUCUCAUUCUCUUUUGUAAUCUUAUCACAUUCUUUAUAUAUCUGCGUAGUAUUUUCAAUCUCCUAG
rnacentral:lncRNA from 1 species